UGACCUCUUUUUGCUAUUUUCUUUCUUCUGUUUUGUGGUUUUCACCACUUUUGAGCCAGUACAGUUAAGUGUUAUACUCUUGUAAUCCUUUACCUGAACCUCUUUCAGGUGCUGUUAUAUUUUCUGAGUAAAUAAAUUUAUUUGGUGGCUGGUUACAGCCUCCAUUACCAUCAAAAAAAAAAAAUUCAAAGUGAUUAAUGAGUGGCCAACACACAAGGUGAUUGAUUUUUUCCACUCAUAUUUUUGAGUUGCCCAAGCAUUUUCC
rnacentral:lncRNA from 1 species